rnacentral:rRNA from 1 species
AGUGAACGCUGGCGGCAGGCCUAACACAUGCAAGUCGAACGGCAGCACGGCAGUAGCAAUACUGUGGGUGGCGAGUGGCGGACGGGUGAGGAAUACAUCGGGAUCUACCCUGUUGUGGGGGAUAACGUAGGGAAACUUACGCUAAUACCGCAUAAGAACUGAGGUUGAAAGCGGCGGACCGCAAGGCGUCGCGCGAUUGGAUGAACCGAUGUCCGAUUAGCUAGUUGGCGGGUAAAGGCCCACCAAGGCGACGAUCGGUAGCUGGUCUGAGAGGACGACCAGCCACACUGGAACUGAGACACGGUCCAGACUCCUACGGGAGGCAGCAGUGGGGAAUAUUGGACAAUGGGCGCAAGCCUGAUCCAGCCAUGCCGCGUGGGUGAAGAAGG